ensembl:snRNA U6 U6 spliceosomal RNA
GUGCUCACUUCGCCAGCUCAUAUACUAACAUCGGCACGAUACAGAGAAGAUUAGCGUGGCCCCCGUGCAGGACUGACACUCAAAUUUGUGAAGCGAUCCGCAGUGUA